ACUUAGUAUGUGUACCUGCUGUAAAUAUGGACAGACAGUAAUAUGUAGGCUUUAGGUGGGCAUGUAGCGAGUUUCAUAUUGCCCAUAAAGGACCUACAAACAUGG